rnacentral:rRNA from 1 species
UGGGGAAUAUUGGGCAAUGGGGGCAACCCUGACCCAGCGACGCCGCGUGGGGGAAGACGGCCUUCGGGUUGUAAACCUCUUUUGUACGGGAAGAAGGAAGUGACGGUACUGUACGAAUAAGUCCCGGCUAACUACGUGCCAGCAGCCGCGGUAAUACGUAGGGGACGAGCGUUGUUAGGAAUUAUUGGGCGUAAAGGGCGCGCAGGCUGUGCUGCAAGUCAGCUGUUAAAUGUCUGGGCUUAACCCGGGCAUGCGGUUGAGACUGCGGUGCUGGAGUGCUGUAGAGGCAAGUGGAAUUCCCAGUGUAGCGGUGAAAUGCGUAGAUAUUGGGAAGAACACCGGUGGCGAAGGCGACUUGCUGGGCAGCAACUGACGCUGAGGCGCGAAAGCCAGGGGAGCAAACGG